UAUGGUGGAUGGAAGCACAGUGGGAGAUUAUAUGCUUCCUUUAAUUCUAGCAAUAGCAAAGACAUAAUUUUGACUCUCAGUACAUCUGAUGAGUUUCUCAUAAUUACUAAGAAAACACCCUAUGCAUUUAGUUUAUUCAUGUUUGGCAAUGACCAUGUCUUGAAUUACUGACAUGUAAUAUAGAAAAACAGUUAUUUAAAUUCAAAUUUAAAGAAUGUAUUACUGAAGUAUAACCUGUAAUAUCGAAGAGUGUGAUUUCCCAAUUGUGAAAUGGUGUAACAGCAGGCCUUACAAAAUACUAUCACAGUACACACUGUUUGCAGAAAGAACUACUGUGGCUUCUAAAAAGACUUUCUAUUUAAAAGAUUAAGAAGCUUGCAUUAUGCUACAGCACUCCUUUGGAUAAGUGCAAGGGGCUCCUCUGUUCCAAUGAGCUGCUACUCACAAUCUUUCAUGUGUGAAUUUGUAGGUUGGUUUUAUGGGGAGGUUGGUAAAAAGGAAAAUACGUACAGUAAUACCUUUGCCCAGUAGGUGACUUGUUCUGAAAGUGUUACUGUGUCCAGCCACGACCCAAAUAUCCCAGCACAACCAGGCAGCCUCCAAGACUGCUAUUCCAGUGCGGCAUAUAAUAAUAUUUCCCAGAUGAACUCCCUGAAUGAAACAACUUGCCACUCUUUCAGAUCGCCUCAGGAGAUGACAGGAGCUUCUUUCCCUGAACUGGCUUGGAACACAGAAGUAAAAACAUUCCAUGGCAUUUGUAUUUCAUCUAUGCACUUCAACUCUACCCAUCACUAUAGUGUCUGCUGGUCUUUCAUUCUCUGAAAUUAUAAUGGAGGAGAAAAAUUAUAUAUGAAGAUGAACGAAACCAGCUCUGGGCAGUUACUCAAGAUCAAGAUGAAAGUAAAUUAUCUCAGAAAAUAGGGGAACACCAUGAAAGUUCUGUGCAAGUGUGACCUGAAUAAAACAUGGUACACAAUGA